CGUUCUCGCGUUCUUGACCGCCUAGACCAUUCCCGCAAGCUCAGAGCCGUCCUUGACCUUCUCUUCGUCGCUCCUGAGCCCGAGAGCUGAGCCCCGCGCGCCCCUUUGCCGAGAACAGUCAGCGCCGCCCGCCAUUAGCGCCGCCGCUCGCCGGUCUCCCGUGGAGCUCUCUCCUCCACCCUUCCUCGCGCCCAACAAACCCCGCAAAGAGCUUCCUUGACAUCUGUUGGUGCUCCCCGACCCGCUCGCCGCCGCCCAGGCCUGCUGCACCGCCGCCGCCGCCACCUACAGCCGCCGCCGGAGUCCUGCUCCGCGGGGAAACCCCAAGCCGGCCUCCCCAACCCCGUCCAAGACCAUCUACAGGUCCCUCUCGACGUCCUCUUGCUCCUCCCCCUAUUCCCCCUCGCCGUCGGCCGCCGUAGGUGCCGGAAUCCGGCCACCACUGCCUCCCCUGUUUCAAACCCCGACCAGGGACCCACGGUACGAUAGAUGAACCUCGUGAGGGAUGUGACAUUGAAGCCGAGCCAGAAGACGGUGAAUGGUGGACCCAUCUAGAAGAUGGAUGGAUGGAUUCCGAUGUGCAUGACCGAAGGCAGGUGCUCGCCAAGCGAGUAUCAUCUAACUAACACUGACUCAGUGUUCAUCCCAGGCAAGCCCCGGUGCACAUCCGUUUAUUUUAAACUAUGACACCUAUAUUAUGUUUCUAUUACUUGUGCAUUAGGUUCAGGAAUUAUUUGAAACCCUAGUUGCAUGAUCCCUAGGUCUCCUCGAGUUAUACUAGUAUGUAGAGGACGCUAGAGAUGCUAUGCUUAAUAGAACUCGGUAGAAGACGAGUGAUUUCGGGUCACUCGCGAGAUAUAGGAUAUCUCGUUAUUUCGAGUAUAUGGAAUAAUGGAAUAGGUUGGAGAAAGAAAAGAAAAUGGAGACCGGGUGGGGAAAGGUUAGCCCCGCCUGUGUCGGUUAAGGACCGUUCGUUGCCUGGCCCUGUGAUCGAGUUUGAAUUGUACUAACUGCAUGCCGGGAGUAGGAGGUAGUCGAAACCGGUAAGCCGAGUACUGCCUUGCUUCGAAAGUACAGGAACCCGCACCCAACUCCUGGGGCGAGUCGAGUAGUCGCGGAGAAUUGGGAUGCAUAUGUUUACUUUUGGUGGUCUCACGUUGAGCUCGGCUGACCAUAUGUCGUUGGGCUGGUUCCUGUAGUUCGAGGCGGGGAGGGGAAUGGUUGGCAUGUAUAGUCCGACGGGGCAAAUACGUGCCGUGUUGGUUAGGUCCACCUUGCAAGGUUAAAUCGGAUCGAUCCGCCGUACGUCGCAUCUCGGAUAUGAGCACCUUGAUCACAGCACCACAUCGUAGUGAUGCUAUAUGGAUUUUAAGUGAUGAGUAGUAAGGUCUACUAGGUAUUAUUACUCCAUGUUGUUAUGAUUGCUUAGCAGGUGCAAAUAAUAGUUAAUGAUUUAUGAAUAUAGAAAUUGGAGCUAAAAGAGGGAAAAUAUGGAUUCACUUCUAGAGCUUUUUCUGCAAAAAUAACCAACAGCCAAAUGCCUUGCAUGUCUAGAUAUGUGGGCUAAGUUAUACCCACUGGUCGGGUAAGUCUUGCUGAGUAUUAGUAUACUCAGGGUUUGUUGUUUACCCUGUUUCAGGUAAAAAAAGCUAAUCAGGAUUAACAUCGGUGGGCUCGAUGUGACGUCCUCACGUCUCCGUAGUUAUCGUUUUAUAUCAAGUUAUUUCAGUUGGGUUCUAAUAAAAAUCUUCCUCAGGUCAUAUUCUCUUCCGCUGCUGUCAUUUAUUUUAUGUAAAUUCUAAAUUUAAAGCUGUUUUGUAAAUAUUUAUAUUAUUAUCUAAUUUUGUGAAAUUAUAUUAUGUUGGUACCUUCUGCGCUCGCCGUCACGCGAGACUUCUGGUGUGUUUCGAUCGGCCUGUGGGUUGGAAACAGGCUGUCAGGUUACACUUAAUUAAGCUAAUGCGCCUGAUGCGUUCAAAUGAUGGCCAUUACGCUUAAUUAAGCCGUUUAACUUGUCGGUUCUGUCACAAGGAGCCAGCAGAUUGGAUUCGAUCAGAGCAAUCUGCUGAUGCCCUCCCAAGACCUUAAGUUGACUUGCAUGAAGUGGUUAACUGCGCUUUGGUCUCCGGAAAAUGCAUUCUCAAGCACCAACUUGUCUCCAGUCGGACUACGGCUUAUUGUAUGGAACACAGAUUAGAGAAGCAACCCCUGGAUGUGGAUACCUGCAUAGUUUACACAUGGGCUGAUUGCGCGAUCAAGAUAUUUCUUCUGAAAAUAAUCAACCCCUAGUUUCCCUUAUCUGGUUCGAGCACCGUUCGUUCGUUAAUGAUUCAGAGCCUGCUUGGUUCAGCUCCAAAGUUUAACUUGCCAAAAUGAGGGCAGGCCAAAAUAUUGGCAUGCUAAUUUUUUUUU